rnacentral:tRNA from 1 species
GGGUAUAGUUCAGCUGGUAGAAUAUCGGUCUCCAAAACCGCAGGUCCUGGGUUCGAAUCCUAGUGC